UGUUUAGUCAAAAGAUAAUCCUUUUUCUUCUCCCAGUCAAUUUUUUUUCUUUGAUCUAAAGAACUUGCUUUUCUCUGAAGUCGUUCACAAUAUGGCAUGACAGAGGAGCACAGAGUGCCAGAGGCAGGAAACUACUAUGUUUCACUAGUGCUCAUAAGAAAACUUAAUAGAGGGUCUCUAGAGUUCACUGGCCCUACAGUACCUGAUUGAUGGAGUCCCAAAGUUAAGUAGGCUAACCUUUAUUGAACCAAACACUUCAGAAGUAUGGGAGGAAGUAUGAGGGAAGGAGUCUUCAUAUUCUGGCAAUGAGGAAAACGAACAUUAACAAUGCAAGACACGGUGAGAGUCACAGAUCCAUGGAUGGACGAUCCUUUUGAGGACAAUAGAGAGAGAAUUUGUAUAAGUUUCUUGAGUGAGAAAACUUCCAGAUGGCAGGCCCGAAAGUCAGUUGUUCCUGCUCAAAACACAGAGCUUCCUCAAGAGGAAGAUAACACUUUCUUUCAUCAGAGGAAGUGAG